GAGUUUGAUCAUGGCUCAGGAUGAACGCUAGCGGGAGGCUUAACACAUGCAAGCCGAGGGGUAUAGUUAGCUUGCUAACUAGAGACCGGCGCACGGGUGCGUAACGCGUAUGCAACUUGCCCUACUGAAAAGGAUAGCCCUUCGAAAGGAGGAUUAAUACUUUAUAAUAGAAAUCAUGGCAUCAUGAAUUUUUGAAAGAUUUAUCGCAGUAGGAUAGGCAUGCGUAAGAUUAGUUAGUUGGUGAGGUAACGGCUCACCAAGACGAUGAUCUUUAGGGGGCCUGAGAGGGUGAACCCCCACACUGGUACUGAGACACGGACCAGACUCCUACGGGAGGCAGCAGUGAGGAAUAUUGGACAAUGGGUGGAAGCCUGAUCCAGCCAUCCCGCGUGUAGGAUGACGGCCUUAUGGGUUGUAAACUACUUUUAUCUGGGGAUAAACCUACUCACGUGUGAGUAGCUGAAGGUACCAGAAGAAUAAGCACCGGCUAACUCCGUGCCAGCAGCCGCGGUAAUACGGAGGGUGCAAGCGUUAUCCGGAUUUAUUGGGUUUAAAGGGUCCGUAGGCGGAUUAAUCAGUCAGUGGUGAAAUCUCAUAGCUUAACUAUGAAACUGCCAUUGAUACUGUUAGUCUUGAGUGAUGUUGAAGUUGCUGGAAUGUGUAGUGUAGCGGUGAAAUGCUUAGAUAUUACGCAGAACACCAAUUGCGAAGGCAGGUGACUAAACAUCAACUGACGCUGAUGGACGAAAGCGUGGGGAGCGAACAGGAUUAGAUACCCUGGUAGUCCACGCCGUAACGAUGGAUACUUGCUGUUGGGUUUUCGGAUUCAGUGGCUAAGCGAAAGUUAUAAGUAUCCCACCUGGGGAGUACGUUCGCAAGAAUGAAACUCAAAGGAAUUGACGGGG
rnacentral:rRNA from 1 species